UACGUAGGGCGCAAGCGUUAUCCGGAUUCACUGGGUUUAAAGGGUGCGUAGGUGGGAAUGUAAGUCAGUGGUGAAAUCUCCGUGCUUAACACGGAAACUGCCAUUGAUACUAUGUUUCUUGAAUUAUCUGGAGGUCAGCGGAAUAUGUCAUGUAGCGGUGAAAUGCUUAGAUAUGACAUAGAACACCAAUUGCGAAGGCAGCUGGCUACACGAAUAUUGACACUGAUGCACGAAAGCGUGGGGAUCAAACAGG
rnacentral:rRNA from 1 species